rnacentral:rRNA from 1 species
UCGAGCGAACAGAGAAAGUGCUUGCACUUUCAAAGUUAGCGGCGGACGGGUGAGUAACACGUAAGGAACCUACCGAUAAGCGGGGGGGACAACAUCCGGAAACGGUGCUAAUACCGCAUAGGAAGUUUUGUUCGCAUGAACAAACUUAGAAAGAUGGCUCUGCUAUCACUUAUCGAUGGGCCUUGCGGUGCAUUAACUAGUUGGCGAGGGUAAACGGGCUCACCAAGGUGAUGAUGCAUAGCCGACCUGAGAGGGUAAUCGGCCACAUUGGGACUGAGACACGGCCCAAACUCCUACGGGAGGCAGCAGUAGGGAAUCUUCCGCAAUGGACGCAAGUCUGACGGAGCAACGCCGCGUGAGUGAAGAAGGUUUUCGGAUCGUAAAACUCUGUUGUAAGAGAAGAACAAAUUGUAGAGUAACUGCUACAGUCUUGACGGUAUCUUACCAGAAAGCCACGGCUAACUACGUGCCAGCAGCCGCGGUAAAU